UACGUAGGGGGCGAGCGUUAUCCGGAUUCACUGGGUGUAAAGGGAGCGUAGACGGCCAUGCAAGCCAGGGGUGAAAACCCGGGGCCCAACCCCGGGAGUGCAUUUGAAACUGUCUGGCUAGAGUGCAGGAGAGGUAAGUGGAAUUCCUAGUGUAGCGGUGAAAUGCAUAGAUAUUAGGAGGAACACCAGUGGCGAAGGCGGCUUACUGGACUGUAACUGACACUGAGGCUCGAAAGUGUGGGUAUCAAACAGG
rnacentral:rRNA from 1 species